UCAAAGAUAAUAAGUAUGCUUCGGAGAGAGGUAAACUCAGACCAGUUUGCAUUUUUUAUUUGCCAGAAGCUUUUGGCAACAGUUUCUUUAUUAUAUGGAUGGAUGGAUAUAAUAACAGGAAAGUGGUUGCUAUCAUGUAGGUCAUCGGAAACUUGCCAAGAAAGAGAAAGUGCAGUUUUAGGGUCACAGAAGCUGAGGUCAGUAGCAGAAAAGGAACCUGAGGAGAUGUUAAAUGCGAGUUUGGAUGGCUCCCCACAUAGUGUGAUGUGCAUUAAAGUCUCCAACAAGAAUGUAUGGUUGGGGAAGCUGACAAAUUAGGUCCGUUAACUCUUUUCAUCAAGGGGGUGGUCCGGUGGAAUGUAUAUACUGCAAAUGGUAAGUUUAUUGGGGCACCAAGUAGUGAUAGCUACUACUUCAAGGUUUGUUGAUGACAGUCGAAGUUUGAAGAGAAAAAUCAUUAUUGGUUGGUAAUACGUAAGUUACUCGGCGGAAGCCACAUUUGACGUAUGAUAUAGGAGAGGUGAGUGAUAACCCUAGGCUGCAGCUCGUUCUCGAUGACGGAAUGAGGAAUGGAUGGACAAAUGGGAUGCUUUGGUUGGUUUUUAGAAGUUCGUCGACUUGAGUCGUCGAUGAUAAAUAAAUGCAUAUGAGUCCGUGUGAUAUUCUGGAUGCGAAAAUGACAUUUUUAGGAGAGAUGAUGCUACCUAUUAAUUUAAUGUAGUCAAAUAGUACAGUGUUGGGUAUAGAAGGCAUAAUGAUGGCGGAUGGAGAUUUUGCUGAGGUAGCUGCAGCAUAUGAUAAAGGUGGAGAGUUAAUAUUUGGAUUGGUUUUUGGUAGUGAGGGAAGGCUAGACACAUUGCUGUGAUCUUGGUUGCCAAAAUUACAAUAGUAGGAAAAAAAUAAGAGAAACGGAUCAAAUAUAUAAAUAAAUCUCAGCUCGAGAAAAGCCAAACAGUCUGUGUCUCAGUGAUUGGCCUAUUGAUUUCCGGAUACGUAAACAAUUUUAAAGUAUAUUCACCAAAUUCUAUGAUAAAAACGCUGCUUCAACAAUUUGUGGUAUCACAUUUUAAUUAUAACAAAAAGCGAAGAAUUUAUUAUUGUUGGGAUUUAACUUAACGAUCUGAAGCUGACGAAGUAUACACAAA